AGAGAGAGACAUGCGCGCAUAUCAAUAAGCGGAGGAAAAGAAACUAACUAGGAUUCCCUCAGUAACGGCGAGUGAAGCGGGAAGAGCUCAAAUUUGAAAUCUUCAAGGGUUCUACCUUUACGAAUUGUAGUUUAAAGAAGUGUUUUCUGUUGAGGUUUUGGUAAAAGUUCUUUGGAAUAGGACAUCAUAGAGGGUGAGAAUCCCGUAUUUGACCAUUACUUUCCAACUUUGUGAUACACUUUCAAAGAGUCGGAUUGUUUGGGAGUGCAGUCCAAAAUGGGUGGUAAAUUUCAUCUAAAGCUAAAUAUUGGCGAGAGACCGAUAGCGAACAAGUACCGUGAGGGAAAGAUGAAAAGAACUUUGAAAAGAGAGUUAAACAGUACGUGAAAUUGUCAAAAGGGAAGCGUUUGACACCAGUGUUGUUUUCUCGAAAAUCAAUUAAAAAAGGCAGGAUUUUGUGUUGUAUUGACUUUAUCAGCUUUCUGCACUCUUUUCUUGUCUUUUUUUAAUGCACUUUUCGUUUAACAAGUCAACAUCAAUUUCUUUUGUUGUAAAAGGGUCAUUGGAAGGUGGCUUUCUUUUCGGAGAAAGUGUUUAUAGCCUUUGGCCUCUGCAAUCGGAGAGAUUGAGGUCUGCAGCGUAGAUCCUUCGGGGUUAGAUACAUUUGUGCUAAGUUAUAGCCUUUCAUAGACAACUUGUUGACUAUGAUCAGUCAUGUAGCUUACUCGCUUAUGCUAUUUUACCUACGCUUAGGAUGUUGAUGUGAUACUGCGAGCA
rnacentral:rRNA from 1 species